rnacentral:rRNA from 1 species
CAUGAAGCUGGAUUCGCUAGUAAUCGCGCAUCAGCCACGGCGCGGUGAAUACGUUCCCGGGCCCUUGUACACACCGCCCGUCAAGCCAUGGAAGCCGGGAGUGCCUGAAGUACGCGACCGCAAGGAGCGUCCUAAGGUAAAACCGGUGACUGGGGCUAAGUCGUAACAAGGUAAC